rnacentral:sRNA from 1 species
AUAAAACGAAUAUUGCCGAAGACAGCAGGUGCCAUAUGGCAUAAGAAUAAUACGCCUGCCGAGGGACAACAUGAAAGAAUUGUGGUACCUCUCUGUCUAUGGCAGAGAGGUUUUUUGUUA